rnacentral:rRNA from 1 species
AGAAUCAACGCUGGCGGCGUGCCUAACACAUACAAGUCGCACGAGAAAGGGUAGCAAUACCUGAGUAAAGUGGCGCACGGGUGAGUAACACGUGAAUGAUCUACCUCCGAGUGGGGAAUAACUGAGAGAAAUCUUAGCUAAUACCGCAUAACACCUACGGGUCAAAGGAGCAAUUCGCUUAAGGAGGGGGUCGCGGCAGAUUAGUUAGUUGGCGGGUAAUGGCCCACAAGACGGUGAUCUGUA